rnacentral:rRNA from 1 species
GCCUACGAUCAUACUACGUUGAAAGCACCGCAUCCCGUCAGAUCUGCGAAGUUAAGCAACGUUAGGCCGGGUUAGUACUAUGGUUGGUGACAACAUGGGAACACUCGGUGUCGUAGGCG